rnacentral:rRNA from 1 species
UGAGGAAUAUUGGUCAAUGGGCGGGAGCCUGAACCAGCCAAGCCGCGUGAGGGAUGAAGGCCCUAUGGGUCGUAAACCUCUUUUGUCAGGGAACAAAAGCGAGUAUGUAUACUAGUCUGAGUGUACCUGAAGAAAAAGCAUCGGCUAACUCCGUGCCAGCAGCCGCGGUAAUACGGAGGAUGCGAGCGUUAUCCGGAUUUAUUGGGUUUAAAGGGUGCGUAGGCGGCGAUGCAAGUCAGCGGUAAAAGCCCGGGGCUCAACCCCGGCGAGCCGUUGAAACUGCAGUGCUAGAGAAGGCGAGAGGUACGCGGAAUGCGCAGUGUAGCGGUGAAAUGCUUAGAUAUUGCGCAGAACUCCGAUUGCGAAGGCAGCGUACUGGCGCCUGACUGACGCUGAGGCACGAAAGUGUGGGUAUCGAACAGGAUUAGAUACC